CAAAAGUACACACAUCUUCUCUAUUGUGAAAGACCAAAAAAUGGAAAUGUGUUGUGAAAUUAGAAAAGCUGUAUACUAGUAUGUCUGAUGUUGUGAGAAGCUGGAUUUUUGAAACCAGAGUUGUCUAUUCAGCCUUUUAUCAGUCUGUACUAAGUUUGAUGUCCAUAGGUACAUAAUAUAGGGAGAUACAUAAAGGAUAAAAUUAAGUGAAGUUACUUCCACACCAGUCUAAUAUUAAAUGGAACUAGAGUCAAAUAGAAUUUAGCGAUUGCCAGUUCUGUUCCACAGAUUUCAAAGUACACUAAGGAAAAUU
rnacentral:lncRNA from 1 species